rnacentral:rRNA from 1 species
AUUGAACGCUGGCGGCAUGCUUUACACAUGCAAGUCGAACGGCAGCGCGGGGCAACCUGGCGGCGAGUGGCGAACGGGUGAGUAAUACAUCGGAACGUACCCAGAAGGGGGGGAUAACGUAGCGAAAGUUACGCUAAUACCGCAUACGUUCUACGGAAGAAAGUGGGGGACCUUCGGGCCUCAUGCUUUUGGAGCGGCCGAUGUCUGAUUAGCUAGUUGGUGUGGUAAAGGCUCACCAAGGCGACGAUCAGUAGGUGGUCUGAGAGGACGACCAGCCACACUGGGACUGAGACACGGCCCAGACUCCUACGGGAGGCAGCAGUGGGGAAUUUUGGACAAUGGGCGCAAGCCUGAUCCAGCAACGCCGCGUGAGUGAAGAAGGCCUUCGGGUUGUAAAGCUCUUUUGUCAGGGAAGAAACGGCUGGGGCUAAUAUCCUCGGCUAAUGACGGUACCUGAAGAAUAAGCACCGGCUAACUACGUGCCAGCCGCCGCCGUAAGAC